rnacentral:rRNA from 1 species
GACGUAGGGCGCGAGCGUUGUCCGGAUUUAGUUGGGCGUAAAGAGCUCGUAGGCGGCUUGUCGCGUCGACUGUGAAACCCGAGGCUCAACUUCGGGCUUGCAGUCGAUACGGGGCAGGCUAGAGUUCGGGUAGGGGGAGACUGGAAUUCCUGGUGGUAGCGGUGGAAUGCGCAGAUAUCAGGGAGGAACACCGGUGGCGAAGGCGGGUCUCUGGGCAGUAACUGACGCUGAGGAGCGAAGCGUGGGGAGCGAACAGG